GCAGGGUUAGUAUAUCGGCUAUUAUAGGGGCUUCCCAAGCCUCGGAGGCGGGUUCGAUUCCCGUACCCUGCUCCA
rnacentral:tRNA from 2 species